GACGUAGGGCGCGAGCGUUGUCCGGAUUUAUUGGGCGUAAAGAGCUCGUAGGCGGCUCGUUGCGUCGGCUGUGAAAACCCGCAGCUCAACUGUGGGCCUGCAGCUGAUACGGGCGGGCUGGAGUUCGGUAGGAGAGACUGGAAUUCCUGGUGUAGCGGUGAAAUGCGCAGAUAUCAGGAGGAACACCGGUGGCGAAGGCGGGUCUCUGGGCCGAUACUGACGCUGAGGAGCGAAAGCGUGGGGAGCGAACAGG
rnacentral:rRNA from 1 species